GUUCGAGACCAGCCUGGCCAGCAUGGUGAAGCCCCAUCUCUACUGAAAAUACAAAAAACUUAGCCGGGUGUGGUGGCGCAUGCUUAUAGUCCCAGCUACCUGAGAGGCUGAGUUUGUCAAGGAUGUCUGUUCUGUAAGUCAAGGGAAUUUUCUGAAUGAAUAUUCAACUGAAAAUAUUUAAAUAGAAAAGAAGAUGAGUAUGCUGUGUGUG
rnacentral:lncRNA from 1 species